rnacentral:rRNA from 1 species
UACAGAGGUCUCAAGCGUUGUUCGGAAUCACUGGGCGUAAAGGGUGCGUAGGCCGCACGGUAAGUCAGAGGUGAAAUCCCGGAGCUCAACUCCGGAAUGGCCUCCGAUACUGCCGUGCUCGAGGACUGGAGAGGAGUCUGGAAUUCACAGUGGAGCAGUGAAAAUGCGUGGAUAUUUGUGAGGAACACUAGUGGCGAAGGCGAGACUCUGGACAGUUCCUGACGCUGAGGCACGAAGGCCAGGGGAGCAAACGGGG